UACGAAGGGUGCAAGCGUUGCUCGGAAUUAUUGGGCGUAAAGGGUAGGUAGGUGGUGAUAUUUGUCUGGGGUGAAAUCCCUGAGCUUAACUCAGGACGUGCCUUGGAAACGGUAUCACUAGAGUACUAGAGAGGUUCGUGGAAUUCUUGGUGUAGCGGUGAAAUGCGUAGAGAUCAAGAGGAACAUCAGAGGCGAAGGCGACGAACUGGAUAGUAACUGACACUAAACUACGAAAGCGUGGGGAGCAAACAGG
rnacentral:rRNA from 1 species